CAAUAGCGUAUAUUAAAGUUGUUGCAGUUAAAAAGCUCGUAGUUGGAUUUCGGGAUGAAAGGCACGGUCUGCCGAGAGGUGUGUACUGUGCGGUUCAUUCUUCCUUCUGUAAACUUUCAUGGUUCUUUAUUGAGCUGUGGAAUGGGUGCAGAACGUUUACUUUGAAUAAAUUAGAGUGUUCAAAGCAGGCAUUUGCUUGAAUACAUUAGCAUGGAAUAAUGGAAUAGGACUUUGGUUCUAUUUUGUUGGUUUCUAGGACUGAAGUAAUGAUUAAUAGGGAUAGUUGGGGGCAUUAAUAUUUAAUUGUCAGGGGUGAAAUUCUUGGAUUUAUGAAAGAUUAACUUCUGCGAAAGCAUUUGCCAAGGAUGUUUUCAUUAA
rnacentral:rRNA from 1 species